rnacentral:rRNA from 1 species
CUAGCAUAUCAAUAAGCGGAGGAAAAGAAACCAACCCGGGAUUGCUCAGUAACGGCGAGUGAAGCGGCAAGAGCUCAAAUUUGAAAGCUGGCUCAUUCGGAGUCCGCAUUGUAAUUUGCAGAGGAUGCUUUGGGUGCGGCCCCCGUCUAAGUGCCCUGGAACGGGCCGUCAGAGAGGGUGAGAAUCCCGUCUUGGGCGGGGUGUCCGUGCCCGUGUAAAGCUCCUUCGACGAGUCGAGUUGUUUGGGAAUGCAGCUCUAAAUGGGUGGUAAAUUUCAUCUAAAGCUAAAUACUGGCCGGAGACCGAUAGCGCACAAGUAGAGUGAUCGAAAGAUGAAAAGCACUUUGAAAAGAGAGUUAAACAGCACGUGAAAUUGUUGAAAGGGAAGCGCUUGCGACCAGACUCGCCCGCGGGGUUCAGCCGGCAUUCGUGCCGGUGUACUUCCCCGUGGGCGGGCCAGCGUCGGUUUGGGCGGCCGGUCAAAGGCCCCUGGAAUGUAGUGCCCUCCGGGGCACCUUAUAGCCAGGGGUGCAAUGCGGCCAGCCUGGACCGAGGAACGCGCUUCGGCACGGACGCUGGCAUAAUGGUCGUAAACGACCCGUCUUGAAACACGGACCAAGGAGUCUAACAUCUACGCGAGUGUUCGGGUGUCAAACCCGUGCGCGCAGUGAAAGCGAACGGAGGUGGGAGCCCCCUUGCGGGGCGCACCAUCGACCGAUCCUGAUGUCUUCGGAUGGAUUUGAGUAAGAGCGUAGCUGUGGGGACCCGAAAGAUGGUGAACUAUGCCUGAAUAGGGCGAAGCCAGAGGAAACUCUGGUGGAGGCUCGCAGCGGUUCUGACGUGCAAAUCGAUCGUCAAAUUUGGGUAUAGGGGGCGAAAGACUAAUCGAACCAUCUAGUAGCUGGUUCCUGCCGAUCU